rnacentral:tRNA from 1 species
GGCCGUGUGCCCGAGUGGCUCCAGGGGACCGACUGCAAAUCGGUUUACGCGGGUUCGAUUCCCGCCAUGGCCUCCA